rnacentral:rRNA from 1 species
GGACGGGUGAGUAAUGUCUGGGAAACUGCCUGAUGGAGGGGGAUAACUACUGGAAACGGUGGCUAAUACCGCAUAACGUCGCAAGACCAAAGAGGGGGACCUUCGGGCCUCUUGCCAUCAGAUGUGCCCAGAUGGGAUUAGCUUGUUGGUGAGGUAACGGCUCACCAAGGCGACGAUCCCUAGCUGGUCUGAGAGGAUGACCAGCCACACUGGAACUGAGACACGGUCCAGACUCCUACGGGAGGCAGCAGUGGGGAAUAUUGCACAAUGGGCGCAAGCCUGAUGCAGCCAUGCCGCGUGUAUGAAGAAGGCCUUCGGGUUGUAAAGUACUUUCAGCGGGGAGGAAGGUGUUGUGGUUAAUAACCGCAGCAAUUGACGUUACCCGCAGAAGAAGCACCGGCUAACUCCGUGCCAGCAGCCGCGGUAAUACGGAGGGUGCAAGCGUUAAUCGGAAUUACUGGGCGUAAAGCGCACGCAGGCGGUCUGUCAAGUCGGAUGUGAAAUCCCCGGGCUCAACCUGGGAACUGCAUUCGAAACUGGCAGGCUUGAGUCUUGUAGAGGGGGGUAGAAUUCCAGGUGUAGCGGUGAAAUGCGUAGAGAUCUGGAGGAAUACCGGUGGCGAAGGCGGCCCCCUGGACAAAGACUGACGCUCAGGUGCGAAAGCGUGGGGAGCAAACAGGAUUAGAUACCCUGGUAGUCCACGCCGUAAACGAUGUCUACUUGGAGGUUGUGCCCUUGAGGCGUGGCUUCCGGAGCUAACGCGUUAAGUAGACCGCCUGGGGAGUACGGCCGCAAGGUUAAAACUCAAAUGAAUUGACGGGGGCCCGCACAAGCGGUGGAGCAUGUGGUUUAAUUCGAUGCAACGCGAAGAACCUUACCUGGUCUUGACAUCCACAGAACUUUCCAGAGAUGGAUUGGUGCCUUCGGGAACUGUGAGACAGGUGCUGCAUGGCUGUCGUCAGCUCGUGUUGUGAAAUGUUGGGUUAAGUCCCGCAACGAGCGCAACCCUUAUCCUUUGUUGCCAGCGGUCCGGCCGGGAACUCAAAGGAGACUGCCAGUGAUAAACUGGAGGAAGGUGGGGAUGACGUCA